GCGUGCGGGCUUGGAUCAUGGCUUUAAUCGACUUCUGCGGAAGUGGAAAGCCAAAAAUGAUGGAGCGCCCAAGGUGCGCGGCUUGACCGGACCGAUUGUACGCACCCUUCGGAGCCGGGACGUGCUAGCCUUGAGCGCUGCGAAUCGACGAAUUUAAUCAUUUCGACCUCAAAUCAGGCAGGACAACCCGCUGAACUUAA
rnacentral:misc_RNA from 1 species